UUUUUUUUUUUUUUUUUUUGCUAAACAACCCAAUACAAAGAUGAAAACCUGCUUUAGUUUGCAGCUAUACAAACACACCCCGCCCGGGCCAUUGUUGUCUGGCUGGAGAAUCAUUUUUAACAUGUGGGUGAGCAAAGCCUGACAUUGCCUUGCCCCCAUUACAUGCAGAUUGGGGAGACAUGAUUCCAUGAGUCCUUUAUGAAUUCUGGCCAUAUCUUCAAUCAUGAUCUCAGUAGUAUUCCUCUGAAAUGGCACACAUUUUUCUAAUGAGAACUUGAAAUGUAAAUAUUGUGUUUGUGCUGUAAAUUUUGUGUAUUUCAAAAAUUGAAGACUCAUAAAAAACACAUUUAUUGAUA
rnacentral:lncRNA from 1 species